CCUGGCGGCCGUAGCGCGGUGGUCCCACCUGACCCCAUGCCGAACUCAGAAGUGAAACGCCGUAGCGCCGAUGGUAGUCUGGGGUCUCCCCAUGCGAGAGUAGGGAACUGCCAGGC
rnacentral:rRNA from 1 species